UACGGAGGGUGCGAGCGUUUAUCGGAAUUACUGGGCGUAAAGGGCGCGUAGGUGGUUUGAUAAGUCAGUUGUGAAAUCCCCGGGCUUAACCUGGGAAUUGCAUUUGAUACUGUCGAACUAGAGUGUGGUAGAGGUAAGCGGAAUUCCCGGUGUAGCGGUGAAAUGCGUAGAUAUCGGGAGGAACAUCAGUGGCGAAGGCGGCUUACUGGAUUAACACUGACACUGAGGCGCGAAAGCGUGGGUAGCAAACAGG
rnacentral:rRNA from 1 species